UUUUUUUCGCUUUUAUUCUGGGAAAAGUAUCAUGCCCAAGGAAUUCAAGGAGCAAGGUCUAAAAACGCAUAUUUUUUAUAGCGGAGAAAAUUUCAGGGCCAGCACAGACAACGUGUGCAACUGUCGCUAUACACUCUCGUGCCCUCCUGGGCAGCUCAUCGAAGGUGCACCGAUAAUCAACAUUUUGUUAUUCUGUACUGCGCGAUGAGUGCAUGUACCGUAUUUUCACGCGUAUUAGCCGCGGCUUAUGCGCAAUUUAUUUUUUUCGCGGACGCUCUGCGGCUUAUCCGUGGGUGCGGCUUAUCUGGUGACUUUUUUUCCCCUGGUACUUUCCCCAUGCCCCGGGUUAAACGAAAGGGCCGACAGUGCCUCAUGUUUUCCGGAACAGGACCGCCCUGCAAGUGCACGAACAAUACCGAACAGGGGCGGGUCCACUCCACAUUCGAGUGGACGAACCCGUCAAUCCACGAAAAACACGCAACAAGGGCACAAUCCGAUCUUAGUAGAACACUAGAACUGACCUCCUUUGUUAUACAUCAUGCCGACACCGGAAUGUGGACAGGGUUUAUGGCCUUCCCUACGGUCUCCUUUGUCGGCAGACCCACAGGAAGGGUUCAAUACACCUGACAUCGGGAUAAAACGUGGUCAGCUAAGCGUCAGUUCUCAUUUGACGAGAGCAGCAGCAUUCGUGGACACGGGCACGGCAGUUUGAGGUGAGGCAUGCUUCAACGCUGAGGCACAGCCACGACAGCGGCUUCAAAGUAAAAGUCGUCGACUUCGCGGACAAGUACGGGAACAGGGCAGCUGGCAGGGAGUACGGCGCUGACAAGCGUUGAGCGUCUCUGUUGAUUUUGUAUGUGCAUCACUGGUUUAGCGCACAAAGCAGUCGCGUCGUAUUACCCGCGGCUUAUCUGCGAGUGCGGCUUAUCUGCAAAAACAUUUUCAAAAUGUAUCUAAAAACGAGUCCUGCGGCUUAUCUGCGGUGCGGCUAAUACGCGUGAAAAUACGGUAUAUGAUUCGUUGUGAUAUGUCACGAGCUCUCGUGUGAUGACCAGUCGUGUCGUUUCUUUGAUAUCCCAGCCUACCGAAACAGUUUUAAGACGAAACCACGUGGCGUUUGGAGCGCUCCAUCUCCUAACACAGUUGAACCUCGUUAUAAUGAACACGGACACAACGAAUUAUCGGUUAUAACAUAGUGAAUGCAAAGUUUGGUCGGUUUUUGCUUUAUUUCAGUGGCAGUUCUACUUUUAUGAUGAAACCCACAACCAAGGAAAACAUUCACGCGAUGUUCAUUAUGACUAGGGCCCGGAAAUUUAGGCACUAAAAAUGAUGGAAAUAGGCAGGCAAUUAGGCCCUCGAAAACAGCUAAAUAGGCACGUUAAUCUGGUGCACUCUUUGACUUUGUUGGUACUUCAGAAUGCUCCAUUCAGGAAAAAUGGCUACGGUACUGUACAUGCUUUGACUUUUACACGGAUACUGAGGCUGCGUAGAACCACGUGAUAUUGAAUACUACUCUUGUUUUCCGCCCUCAAAGGUCAAGAAAGGCCCAAUAUCUUGUUCAAAUAUACAUGCACCUCUUCAAGCAAACCAGGGUACUGAAGGAAACCAAACGAGAGAGAGAGAGAAAAAAAGGUGGAAGCAUGCAGGAACAAAAUGCAAAAUUCAGCACUCAGCAUGAGUCUAGAAGAUGAGCUCACCCUUGCACCUCUAAAAAAAGGCUGUUAAGGCUUACAUUUGGAAGACUCCCCAAAGCUUUCUUUAUGUUCUUUUUUUUUGUCAACGAGAGGGCGUGACAUAUGAAGGUAGGUACAAGAACCUACAAUUUGGCAACUUUAGGAAGCUACCUUCCUCGCGGGCUGUCGGGGUCAUAGGUACAUGAAAGAAGAUGUGACACCGCGUUCAGUGUGAGCAGAAUUGAUCCCCCAUACUAUUGCGACCCUUGUGAUACUGCUGAAAACGAAAUACAGAAGGCGAAGCCUAAAAAGUUCGAGGACUAAAACAAUUUAUUGUCACAUUAAAUCUUCCAAUGCUCAAAUAUCGCCAGUAUAUGCUGCCCGAGACAAGUCCUCCAGAGAAGUGCUGUGAAACCGGUGGUAAUGGCUAGAAGUCCUGUCUUUUGACCAUAGUAGGUUCAAUAAGUUUUGCAUUUCAUGCAGCAAAAAAAUUAUGACAACAGUCACAACCACCAUUUACGGUAUUGUUCCUGCAGAUAAAACUGAUUUAUUCACUUUCUUUGUGCGCUUUAAGUGCUACAGAUGAAAAAAAUGUAACAAUUUAUAGUGGCAUUUUUAGUGCCUAAACUGAGAUUUUUCGCGCCUAAAACAAAAUUUUUUCGUCCCUAAAAAUCCGGGCUCUAGUUAUAAUGUAGUAUAUUUGACCUUUCAUGUUGUUCAACUGUGUGUGCGAGCCAAAAAGAAAAAGAAAGACUGUGCAACCAGCGGGAACUCUCAGGCAUUCAAAUUACGUGAUGCGCGAAAAUAUGCGCGCUCGCUCGUUUCAGGCGCUGCGGAGGCGAUCGCCGUGAUGGUGCGCGCGCAGGGCACCACUGCACGCACGUGCAGAAACCACGUGGUCUGCUUCGCUGUUGGCGGGAUGGCAGCCAAACGGAAAGCAAUCCCUUUGGAAGCGAAACUACGUAGGGUCUUGGAACGAGGUUAAGCGAUCGAGAGUACGGAACUGUUUGUGAAUGCCAGGUUCACUCUACCUGCUGUGGACACUUCACCGGAAAGCCAUCGACAGACGACGCAAAUUGGCGCUGAUUAGCCUUGCGAGAGAUAUCUUUUGAUGUCUUUAGUCCGUAUUCACCAACUUACUUAAACCAUUGCUUUAGUGACGUCGGGUUUAAAUCGAUCACGUGAGACUUUCGUUUGCCAAUCCUGGAUCACCACCCCAUGCUCCACCACCUGCUGCUACGAAGCUUAUGGCACCUCACAUAGCGAGCUUCCUGCAUGGCGCAUGGGCAUUUCGCCAGGGUUUGCCAGUAGCGAUGGUUGCCAUUGGGCCUAAUCCCCGGUUCACGAAGAAUUCUUCAUCAAGUCUUAGCAUGCCACAGCAGAACAGACCAACGAAGAACAAUUCUUGAGGCUGCAAAGGAGGCUGCAAACCUUUUGGAAGCAUCAUGACUUUUCUAGUUGAACUAUUGCAGGUACAUAACCACGACCAAUCACCGACAGCUUUGGUGCAUUGUGUAAGCACAGAUAUUCUGAAGGUCCUUUCUCGAAAAAUAUCUUAUAAACUCAUCACAACAACUUUGUAUUCGUGAGCAUUUUGUUUAUAUUACAAUAAAGGCUAUUACGUAGUU